UAGGGAAUCUUCCGCAAUGGGCGAAAGCCUGACGGAGCAACGCCGCGUGAGUGAUGAAGGUCUUCGGAUCGUAAAACUCUGUUAUUAGGGAAGAACAUAUGUGUAAGUAACUGUGCACAUCUUGACGGUACCUAAUCAGAAAGCCACGGCUAACUACGUGCCAGCAGCCGCGGUAAUACGUAGGUGGCAAGCGUUAUCCGGAAUUAUUGGGCGUAAAGCGCGCGUAGGCGGUUUUUUAAGUCUGAUGUGAAAGCCCACGGCUCAACCGUGGAGGGUCGUUGGAAACUGGAAAACUUGAGUGCAGAAGAGGAAAGUGGAAUUCCAUGUGUAGCGGUGAAAUGCGCAGAGAUAUGGAGGAACACCAGUGGCGAAGGCGACUUUCUGGUCUGUAACUGACGCUGAUGUGCGAAAGCGUGGGGAUCAAACA
rnacentral:rRNA from 1 species